rfam:Daucus carota subsp. sativus cultivar DH1 chromosome 7, whole genome shotgun sequence.
AUUCCAUGAUGAGGACACUUUCGAAGCAUUUCUUUGUAGCAUUCCCAAGCUUCACAUAAAGUUUCACCCGACUGUUGAGAAAAUUGAGUAAGAGCAUUCUUGAUUGC